rnacentral:tRNA from 1 species
AAGUGUGUUGGCAGAUUAGUGCAACUGAUUUAGGAUCAGUCUAUGGAGAACACCACACACCA